UUCUGUUCCUAAUAAUAAUUGCCACGAGAGAGAGAGCGAGGGAAGCGAGUACGGUCGCCGUCUUCAAUCCCUAGUCUCUUGAUCUGGAGAACACCAGCUCCAAGUGAAUCCCCUUCGAUUUCUCGAUCGCAGGGACUGGGAGAGCGAGAGAAGAGGUGAGACGAACCUCGAAGAGGAGCUGGAGGAUAGGAUUGGAUUGGAUUUGGUGUUAGUUUCUUUGCGUUGUCUGCAGCGGGAAGGGAGGAGGGUUGAGAUUUCAUGUGUGGCGAAGGGCGGUUGACAGAAGAGAGUGAGCACGCAUCGGGUUGAAAUGGCACAAGACGGUGCUGUUUCCGCUGCGUGCUUACUUCUCUUCCUGUCAGUCAGCGUUUGUUGUACUUUUCUUCCGGCGAGAGCGAGGCUUGGAGACCCGUGCCUUUCCCCUCCGCCCUUUGUCCAUGACUGGUCUCUUGUCGGAGUUUCCAUCCAUUGAUCUUAAUGUUGGCUCGUCGGAUAUGUUUGACGAAGACUGGUGGAUGGUUGAUGGUUUUCGAGGAAAGAGCGUGACUUUUGAGAAGGCGAGAGAGUACAGCCUGCCCCUAUUCGGAUCGCGUUGAAGUGGAUGAGCGAGAGAGCAAGGAACCAGAAAGAGUACAUGCGCUAGGCCUUUCGCUCAGCAGAUCGACUGUUCGGCCAUUACGGAAGCCAUUUGUCUGCCAGUUUUACCUUCCUUCUUGUUCCCCUCUUCUAUUUUAUCGUCUUUGUUUAGUUUUUCUUUGUUCCUCCUUUGUUUUUUGCUGGUCUUGACUGGGGUUUGGUGGUAAGCUAAUGGGUAUGGAGAAUAGGUGCUCUCGAAUAUUCAUCUCUGCAGUAGCUUCGCCAGGUUGCAGAAAAGUUCAGUUUUGGUUACACAUUAUGAAUUGUUGGAGAAAGUAUUAGUUUUGAUGAUACUCCAUGAACCCCAUAAAUGUUUCUUGUUUUGGAUAAUGAAGUACCUUCCUUUUCGGUUUUGAUGAUGAUGACAACUCCUGAAUGGUUCAGGUACUUCUUCAUUCAGGGUUUGGUAAUUAUCGGCCACAUUCACUAUCUUCAUAUUUUUCAUUCCACGUGCCUUGGUUGACUAGAUGAACUAAUUGAGCGAAAGGGAGCGAUCUUUCAUGACCUUUCCAUAUCAAGAUGUCAGGUUCUUUUAAUCUUCACCGAAGUGUUCGUUUCUUGCCUCCACUUGGAGGUGGUACCAUGGCUGCAGUAGCUUAUUCCAUGACGAUCCCUCCUGGGUUUACUAUCCUUAUGGCUCAAAAUCUUGUUGCUUGACUUUGUGGAACUCAUAACUUUACUAGUUUAUAGUUGGUUCCUCCUGGUUGUCUCUCUUUCCUUUAUCUGGUAUGACACCGAGAAACAGACUGUUGCAAAAAAAACCCCACAAGUUGUUUUGGAAGAUGAUAUUUUUCGUUUUAUUGCAGUCCACCUUAGGUGGUCCAGCCACUCAUUUGUUUCUCUGUCGUUUGUGGUUGAAGGAAUGGUUCGGUGUCUGACCAUGGAAGACGACAUUUUUAUUAUUUUCUUUACCCACUGAGGGCUGUCCAUCCAGGUUGGAGGCAUGAAUCUAUGCAGAACAAGUUUUAUCGGCCAGAACAUAUAAAGCCCAUUGAUCUUGGUUAAAUGAUGGUAAAAGUACGACCAUAACAAUCUGACGAGGAAGCAUACUAAUAUUUCAAUGAAGAUCCUUAUUUCUAAACAAUAUUGUUGUAAAUACUUGAGAAUUGAUAAAUACAACUUAAGCUGAUAUUGACAUGCAAUUGUUGAUUGGAACAGAUCAGCACAGUUUAGGCUAGCCAGCAUUAUUGUCUUGGCAUGGACUUUGGCAUACUCGACACAUGCAAUCCUUAAUUGUUUUAGAUUACAUCUCAUAUGGACACAAUCUUACAGACAAACAAUAAGGCUGCAGCCAGCUAUACUGUUUAUACAGAGCCAAAAUGCUUGUCAACUGCAUGUGGCCUUAAAUGGAUGUGUAAGAUUUUGCUUCAACGGACUGCCAUUACUUACUUCAGGGGAUGGAGAGGAGGAAGGAAGAGUAAGAAGAGAAAGGAGGACGCAUUGCUCCUUCCUUCCACGCGGAAACUUUUUCCACUUGUAAAUUUGGUAUUAGCAUCAAUUGUUACUGCCGUUUAUUCUGUGAGGCAAAAUUACAUAUCGCUUCAAAACAAUUAA